GGAUAGCCAAAGUACACCUAUCAUGCCAUUAGGAAAUUCAGAAAAUCAUCAGCAGGAUAGCCAAAGUACACCUAUCAUGCCGUUAGGAAAUUCAGAAAGAAGGAAAGAAAGACGG